AGAGCGGGAGCCCGGAGAUGGGCACUGAGACAAGGGCCCAGGCCCUACGGGGCGCAGCAGUCGCGAAAACUCCGCAAUGCGCGAAAGCGUGACGGGGCUACCCCGAGUGCCGUCCGCUGAGGAUGGCUUUUCCCCGGUGUAAUGAGCCGGGGGAAUAAGGAGAGGGCAAGACUGGUGUCAGCCGCCGCGGUAAUACCAGCUCUCCGAGUGGUAGGGACGAUUAUUGGGCUUAAAGCGUCCGUAGCCGGCUUAGCAAGUCUCCUGUUAAAUUCAGCGACUCAAUCGUUGAGCCGCGGGGGAUACUACUAGGCUAGGAGGCGGGAGAGGUCGACGGUAUUCUCGGGGGAGGGGUGAAAUCCUAUAAUCCCGGGAGGACCACCAGUGGCGAAGGCUGUCGGCU
rnacentral:rRNA from 1 species